rnacentral:rRNA from 1 species
UACGUAGGGUACAAGCAUUAAUCGGAAUGAUUGGGCGUAAAGGGCGCGUAGGCGGCAAAGUAAGUCAGAUGUGAAAUUCCAAAGCUCAACUUUGGAGCUGCAUUUGAAACUGCUAUGCUAAAGAGGUAAGACGGAGAAAGCGGAAUUCCACGUGUAGCGGUGAAAUGCGUAGAUAUGUGGAGGAACACCUGUGGCGAAAGCGGCUUUCUAGUUUUAACCUGACGCUGAGGCGCGAGAGCAAGGGGAGCAAACAGG